rnacentral:tRNA from 1 species
UGGGGUAUAGCCAAGUUGGUAAGGAAGCGGGUUUUGAUCCCGCCAUUCGUAGGUUCGAGUCCUGCUACCCCAGCCA